CACACAUUUUCUAUACUUUCCUGUGAUAGUUUUUUUUUCCAAUUAUUGCGUCAUCACCGUCAGCCUAUUUAAGUCGGGCCAAACGAGACACUCGUUCUCUUUUGCCAGCGUCCCGUCACCGGCGUUUCCACAAGAUCGUCCAAAACUUUGACAAGGGUGCUAACAUCUUGCUAGCAUGCUAGCUAAAACCUUUGAGCGCUCGGAGGCAUUUAACGUCUCCUGCGAGCUUAAACCACACCAAAACGCAUUUAUCUGGCGUAUAUGCUGAUAAAUGAAUGCACAACCAUUUGGACAAAAGAUGCCGUUUUGCAGGAGGUUUGAAUCUUCAACCGUAUUCCUGUUUCUCUACACAGCAUAUCCUUUAUUAAACAGAAUAAAUCAAGUAAUUGUCUUUGGGUGAAUUCUGAUUACAGGUUCAAAUCUUCAACAAAAUGGCUGAAUUUUGGGGCAGGCCUCUUGAGACUUUUGUGGGUCUACUGAUAAACUCCUCGCUCAAUUGUCACGUUGCGAAGUCAAACUGGCUCGUGGGGCUGAAUUGGGAGACGUCGAACGCCAACAGUGUUGUCGUGUCUUUCAGGCCGUCGCUGACGAGGCGUCCGGCUGCGCCCUGCACGAGCUGACCAGGCAGCCUCCAGCGAUGUCAUCACCGUUCAGGAUGAAGCGGAUGAGACUGAAGGAGGUUGCACUCUGAGAUGCGCUGGAGCCACAACCCUCAAGUUCUUUACCUUUUUGCUCCUGGACACAAGCAUGUUCUUGCUGCUCACGUCCACCAUGUGGCGCCCGAGCAUUCCUGGAGAGCCUGGUCCUGGAUCAACUGGUGGUGGAAACAUGGCGUCAUGAUCAACUUCCUGUCCAACAUGUUGAGAGGUCAGCUUCCAGUCCAAGUGCUAUCGGGGACUCGGCCAGCAAGAUCCUGCACGUGCUGGGCAAAGAGAUGAGUUCUACAUAAAUGUGCAGAAGAUCCUCAAUGCUGCCGCCUUGAAUGUUGACACAUGCUAAUAAAAUUACUAAAUGGCAGCUUGACUGGUCCCUCACUCAUCUUGUUUUCAGGUGUCCUGGAGAAGUCUGUCGCAGAAGGUUCCAGUCUGUUUACUUUAAUUUAUUUGUGCGUGUCUGGCUUCUCGGACAGCGGGGGAACAAGAUGGUGGUAUAAAAACAAAAUGGCUGAAAUGAGCAAUUUAAUGUCUGUCUCUUCUGCAGUUCCCCCAAAGUUGCAUUCUGAGAUGCGCUGCAGCCAGAAACCAAGGUCUUUAUUCUCUCUCUCUCUCUCCCUCUCCUGGACAGUAGCAUGGUCUUGCUGCUCACGGCCACCAGGUGGCAACGAAAAAUUCCUGGAGAACCUGAUCAUGAUCCACUGCUGUAGCUCUCAAAGCUUAGGACCUGUUGAAAAGACGUGUGUCAAGACCCUGUCUCUGUCAGACCAGGAUUUUGACCAGCUGGAGAGACCCCACAACUCAAAGCAUCUUGAAAUACUGUUUGUCAUUGUAUGAAUUUGAUUGUUGCAGACAAGACACUUCUGAUUUAUUUUUGUUGUGACUUUGAAAUUACUUUAUUCAUGAUCAAAAAUAAAGCAAAGUCGAA